CUUCCGUAGGGGUACCUGCGGAGGGAUCAUUACCGAGUUUACAACUCCCAAACCCAAUGUGAACCAUACCAAACUGUUGCCUCGGCGGGGUCACGCCCCGGGUGCGUCGCAGCCCCGGAACCAGGCGCCCGCCGGAGGGACCAACCAAACUCUUUACUGUAGUCCCCUCGCGGACGUUAUUUCUUACAGCUCUGAGCAAAAAUUCAAAAUGAAUCAAAACUUUCAACAACGGAUCUCUUGGUUCUGGCAUCGAUGAAGAACGCAGCGAAAUGCGAUAAGUAAUGUGAAUUGCAGAAUUCAGUGAAUCAUCGAAUCUUUGAACGCACAUUGCGCCCGCCAGUAUUCUGGCGGGCAUGCCUGUCCGAGCGUCAUUUCAACCCUCGAACCCCUCCGGGGGGUCGGCGUUGGGGACCUCGGGAGCCCCUAAGACGGGAUCCCGGCCCCGAAAUACAGUGGCGGUCUCGCCGCAGCCUCUCCUGCGCAGUAGUUUGCACAACUCGCACCGGGAGCGCGGCGCGUCCACGUCCGUAAAACACCCAACUUCUGAAAUGUUGACCUCGGAUCAGGUAGGAAUACCCGCUGAACUUAAGCAUAUCAAAGGCGGGAGGAA
rnacentral:rRNA from 1 species